rnacentral:lncRNA from 1 species
AGUGAGGUGCUCGGGCGUUACUAAGCGCAGCGCCUGGGUACCGCCUCAUUGGCGUGUGUGAGGACCUCUGGUCCGUCAGUGGCCUCUGAGGAGGGGCAGGUAGCGAUGGAUGUAGCUUUAGGACAGGAAGAGUUUUAACAGCUCGUACUUAAAAAGCCCUAUUGCUACCUGGAAGCUGGUGGCUUGGUUGGCUUGUUCGGGUGAGAAAAAUGCUGCUUAGCUUAUUUGCUAGUGGGGCAGUGUUAUGUGCUGUGUGAAAACCAAGGGCCAAAAAGGAGCAGUGGAAGGACUGCUUAUUGCUGCUUUACAGACUGGUGGUGCUUGGAUUCUGCUUACUGAUGUUUCACAUCAGAGGGAUUUUUCUCAAUGACACUAUCUGGAAGCAGAGGGGAAAAAACAGACAUUAAGGUCAAGAACAUGUCUACCUUCCAAACCAGAGGUAUUUAAAAGUGUAGAAUGGAGAGGGAGCACGAAGACUUACCCUACCACUUGUCAAGCAUCAGAAACCAUAUAGAGUCAAAUGUGUUUUAGCUGCUGUUGGAGAAAAUGCAUCUAUUAUGCUUUGAAGCUUAAAGAAUGACUCAGCACAACUUCAGUGUAGAAGAUUAGAGAUUGGGAACUUUAGAUUAAACUCAUGGAUCUGCCUCUGACUUAAUCUAAAACCAGAAGAGGAGUUACUUUCCUUCAUAGUGGUGGAUUAACUGGAGAAAGAAAUAAGCUUUUCAAUAAUCUGCUGUUCUGCCUUCACAGUUUUGGACUGCCAUUGUUUUAUAUGUAGUACUUGUGAUCCAAGAGUACUUCUUAUAUUUAUGUUCAGCUGAGAUUGAUUCAGCCUGCAAGGAUCAGUCUGGAAGGUGUUGCUGCUGGCACAAUUGUGUAAGUGGUCCAUAUACAUCCAAGGAACAUCAGUUCCCUUUGGUGAUGUCUUGCACUACUAAUGCACUAGAAAUUACGAGAAAAGUAUUUAAUGGCCACAGAGCAAAAUUGAAUUGGUUUGGGAUGUGAGACAGAUUUUUUUAAAAUAAUUAGUAAAUGCAAAACCCACUAGAAGUUGGUAUUGUUUCUUAAUUAGUCUCAUUGUUGAAAUUAGAUUAAUUUGCAAUACAAAACUCACUUAUGCUCCAGGUUCUGAUGCUAACAAAAACACUUCCUGUAAAAUGUAAGUUCAUUACUGAGCAAAUGAAUGAGGAACAGAAUUAAAAUGAUUUCACAAAUUGAAAUUGUGCCCGAAUGCCAUUAUUACUCAAACCAGUGCUGUCAAAUGGUUUAGUGAGGCUUUUAGGGCAGUGAAGAUCUUAAUUCUGUAUGAUGUCAAAGGCAAAAAACGAUUCCUUCCACCACUGGAAUCACAAUUUAUGUGCUGUUGGAAGAGAAGGUAUUUCCACUCUUCUUUCAAUGGUUGUAACACAUACAGCAAAGAAUAGGAAAGUUUUUUUUUUUAAGAAAAAUCCAAGCUUUUAAGUACGGAAAGACCAUUAAUUGGAGUGAGUUAGUUACAUUCAUGCAAGGAAUAUAUAUCUUGUACCUAGGAGAAUAAUUAUGUGCCUUUGUUAUUGAAGGGCAUAUUCAACACAACAAAUCUCUUCAUUUUCUGCACUACUUGCGUAAGGCUGGAUAAACUGCUGUAGUAUCAGCUGUGUCUUAACUGUGAUGUGACUGUUACUAUAGUACAUGAUAUUAACCUGAAGAACCUUAUGACCGGCUUCAGAGGAUUCUAGCAAUAGUUUGAGAAAGAUUGUCUCUUCUUGACUGUGAAGGUCUGCACUGAUUACUUUUGUGUGGAUGCUAUAAUAUACAAACUAAAUUGGGUUCAAUCCUGCCAGGCCUCGGUCCUCAUUUAGCAAAACAGAACUAAAGCAGAGAACUUAAUUUCUCAGUUUAAGGUCUGGAAAAGUGUUUGCACGCAAUGAAGCUACUUUUGUGGACUUAUAUUUAAUGGAAAUAUUAAUAUACAUUCUAAAGAAAAAUGUGU